AUUUGAUUGCUUCAUAAUCAGUAAGGCCUGCUCAAUGAGUAUUCAAUAGCCGCGAUUACGUGCUAAGGUAGCAUAAUAAAUUGCCUUUUAAUUGAAGGCUAGAAUGAAAGGCUCUACAAAUAAAAUUCUUUAUUAUCACUACUCCUUUAAACUAAUCUAUAAAUAAAAAAGUUUAUAUAAACAAGGGGGACGACAAGACCCUAUCGAGCUUUACUUCAGUUUCACUGGGGAGGUGAGAAAAGAAUUUCUUUUUUUUUCUAAAAAAGAAAAAUUCUGAAAGAAUUUUGAACUAGCUACCGUAGGGAUAACAGCACAAUUAAUUUUAGGAGAUCCUAUCUUAAAAUUAGAUUAUGACCUCGAUGUUGAAUUAAAGUACCUCUAGGAGAAAAAGCUUAUUAGGAGAGUCUGUUCGACUUUUAAAACUUU
rnacentral:rRNA from 1 species